rnacentral:rRNA from 1 species
GACGAACGCUGGCGGCGUGCUUAACACAUGCAAGUCGAACGAUGAGGCCUUAGCUUGGUUUGGUGGACUAGUGGCGAACGGGUGAGUAACACGUGAGCAACGUGCCCAUGACUCUGGAAUAACCGCGGGAAACCGUGGCUAAUACCGGAUAGGUGCCGCUGCCGCAUGGUCUUCGGUUGGAAAGUUUUUGCGGUUCUGGAUCGGCUCACGGCCUAUCAGCUUGUUGGUGGGGUAUUGGCCUACCAAGGCGACGACGGGUAGCCGGCCUGAGAGGGUGACCGGCCACACUGGGACUGAGACACGGCCCAGACUCCUACGGGAGGCAGCAGUGGGGAAUAUUGCACAAUGGGCGCAAGCCUGAUGCAGCAACGCCGCGUGGGGGAUGACGGCCUUCGGGUGGUAAACCUCUUUGAGUAGGGAAGAAGCGCAAGUGACGGUACCUGCAGAAAAAGCACCGGCUAACUACGUG